AAUUUCCUACGGGACGCAGCAGUGGGGAAUAUUGCACAAUGGGGGAAACCCUGAUGCAGCAACGCCGCGUGAGUGAAGAAGGUUUUCGGAUUGUAAAGCUCUGUUAGCAGGGAAGAGGAAGGACGGUACCUGCAGAAGAAGCCCCGGCUAACUACGUGCCAGCAGCCGCGGUAAUACGUAGGGGGCAAGCGUUAUCCGGAUUUACUGGGUGUAAAGGGAGCGUAGACGGUGCAGCAAGUCUGAUGUGAAAGGUCGGGGCCCAACCCCGGGACUGCAUUGGAAACUGUUGAACUGGAGUACAGGAG
rnacentral:rRNA from 1 species